rnacentral:lncRNA from 1 species
GGAGGCAUUGGGAAUAAGUUGCGAUAACACGAUGAGCUGCCUAGCCAAAGGAAUAGGCACAAGCAUUGUGCCAUACACCAGGGUUGGACAAGGGUUCGAGAAAGUGUAUCAGAUAUCCAAAUGAUGUUCAGGAUCUCCAUUUCUUUUGUGAAGGAAUUUUUACACUAAUUAAUCCCUUAAAAUAUUCGGAUGCAAGCGCUAACUGCAUCGCAAAUCAUCACGUAAGAACUAACUACACAGUAAACAUUACAACGUACAACUUCUCUGAUUUCCCUUCUUUUCAGUGGAGAUAAAUAAAUGUUUAUACAUUAGAGAACUAGGUCCGAUUCUAACUUAAUAAAAUAUGAAUAAGUACGAGAUCUCUAUCAAACCUUAAUAAAACCAACCUGAUACAUGUAUUCAAUUGGAUCCCCUUCAUGUAUUAUGGCACACCUAGGCUAGAGGCCCGGUGACAUAGAGAUAAGCCUGAUCAAUUAUUACUGUUACUGACCAAAG